rnacentral:rRNA from 1 species
GACAGAGGAUGCAAACGUUGCUCGGAAUUACUGGGCGUAAAGCGUGCGUAGGUGGUGAGUUAAGUCUGUCGUGAAAGCCCCGGGCUCAACCUGGGAAUGGCGAUGGAUACUGGCUCGCUAGAGUGCGGUAGAGGAGAGUGGAAUUCCCGGUGUAGCAGUGAAAUGCGUAGAGAUCGGGAGGAACAUCAGUUGCGAAGGCGGCUCUCUGGACCAGCACUGACACUGAGGCACGAAAGCGUGGGGAGCAAACAGG